CAAAUGGCAGAAUGCAGAAGACUGAAGUGGAUGGAAGCCCACAUCUUGGUCUGUUUGCUUUAACAGACUUUAAAGAAGGUUGAGUUGGUGUUUUCUCACAGAGGAAAGCUGUAGAGUUCUGUCCUCAGUUCUCAGAUCAAACUCCUCCAGACUGAGAGAACUGAACCUGAGUCACAAUAACCUGCAGGAUUCAGGAGUGAAGCUGCUCUCUGCUGGACUGGAGAAUCCACACUGUACUCUGGAGAUACUGAGAGCUCUGACUGUUGUUCGUGCACAGCUGAAUGAAGUCACGAGAUAAUAAAUGUAGGUAAUGAAAUGAUAAUGUGUGUGAUGUAGAUUUUACCAGACUUUUAAUUCUGUUCUCUGUAUUUGCAG
ensembl:lncRNA